rnacentral:rRNA from 1 species
UGGGGAAUAUUGCACAAUGGGGGAAACCCUGAUGCAGCGACGCCGCGUGAACGAAGAAGGUAUUCGUAUCGUAAAGUUCUGUCCUAUGGGAAGAUAAUGACAGUACCAUAGAAGAAAGCUCCGGCUAAAUACGUGCCAGCAGCCGCGGUAAUACGUAUGGAGCGAGCGUUGUCCGGAAUUAUUGGGCGUAAAGGGUACGCAGGCGGUUUAAUAAGUCGAAUGUUAAAGAUCGGGGCUCGACCCCGCAAAGCAUUGGAAACUGAUAAACUUGAGUAGUGGAGAGGAAAGUGGAAUUCCUAGUGUAGUGGUGAAAUACGUAGAUAUUAGGAGGAAUACCAGUAGCGAAGGAGACUUUCUGGACACAAACUGACGCUGAGGUACGAAAGCGUGGGGAGCAAACAGG